rnacentral:rRNA from 1 species
AACGAACGCUGGCGGCAGGCUUAACACAUGCAAGUCGAACGCCCCGCAAGGGGAGUGGCAGACGGGUGAGUAACGCGUGGGAAUCUACCCAGUUCUACGGAACAACUGAGGGAAACUUCAGCUAAUACCGUAUACGCCCUACGGGGGAAAGAUUUAUCGGAAUUGGAUGAGCCCGCGUUGGAUUAGCUAGUUGGUGAGGUAACGGCUCACCAAGGCGACGAUCCAUAGCUGGUCUGAGAGGAUGAUCAGCCACACUGGGACUGAGACACCGCCCAGACUCCUACGGGAGGCAGCAGUGGGGAAUAUUGGACAAGGGGCGGAUGCCUGAGCCAGCCAUGCCGCGUGGGUGAUGAAGGCCGUAGGGUUGUAAGGCUCUUUCAGUGGGGACGAUAAUGACGGUACCCACAGAAGAAGCCCCGGCUAACUUCGUGCCAGCCGCCGCAGUAAUAC